rnacentral:rRNA from 1 species
CAAGUCGAGCGAGAAAGUGUAGCAAUACAUGAGUAAAGCGGCGCACGGGUGAGUAACACGUGGAUAACCUGCCUCAAAGUGGGGAAUAACACCGGGAAACCGGUGCUAAUACCGCAUAUUCUGAUGGAGCCUGCGGGCUUUGUCAGUAAAGGAGCAAUUCGCUAUGAGAGGGGUCCGCGGCUGAUUAGCUAGUUGGUGAGGUAAUGGCUCACCAAGGCAACGAUCAGUAGCCGGUCUGAGAGGACGGUCGGCCACACUGGAACUGAGACACGGUCCAGACUCCUACGGGAGGCAGCAGUGGGGAAUUUUUCGCAAUGGGGGCAACCCUGACGAAGCAAUGCCGCGUGGAUGAUGAAGUAUUUCGGUACGUAAAAUCCUUUCGACGGGGACGAAACCGCAAGGUUGACGGUACCCGUAGAAGAAGCCCCGGCUAACUCCGUGCCAGCAGCCGCGGUAAUACGGGGGGGGCAAGCGUUGUUCGGAAUUACUGGGCGUAAAGGGUGCGUAGGCGGCUUUCUAAGUUGGAUGUGAAAACUAUGGGCUCAACCCAUAGCCUGCAUCCAAAACUGGAGAGCUUGGGUUCUGGAGGGGAAAGCGGAAUUCCUGGUGUAGCGGUGAAAUGCGUAGAUAUCAGGAGGAACACCGGUGGCGAAGGCGGCUUUCUGGACAGAUACCGACGCUGAGGCACGAAAGCUAGGGGAGCAAACAGGAUUAGAUACCCUGGUAGUCCUAGCCCUAAACGAUGGAUACUUGCUGUGAGGGGGAUUGAAACCCCUUGUGGCGAAGCUAACGCAUUAAGUAUCCCGCCUGGGGAGUACCGUCGCAAGGCUGAAACUCAAAGGAAUUGACGGGGGCCCGCACAAGCGGUGGAGUAUGUGGUUUAAUUCGACGCACGCG